rnacentral:rRNA from 1 species
CCCGCUGAACUUAAGCAUAUCAAUAAGCGGAGGAAAAGAAACCAACAGGGAUUACCUCAGUAACGGCGAGUGAAGCGGUAACAGCUCAAAUUUGAAAGCUGCCAACAGGCCGCGUUGUAAUUUGUAGAAGCUGCUUUGGGUGUCGGCCCGGUCUAAGUUCCUUGGAACAGGACGUCAUAGAGGGUGAGAAUCCCGUAUGUGAUCGGUGCCGUUGCCCGUGUAAAGCGCUUUCGACGAGUCGAGUUGUUUGGGAAUGCAGCUCAAAAUGGGUGGUAAAUUUCAUCUAAAGCUAAAUAUUGGCCAGAGACCGAUAGCGCACAAGUAGAGUGAUCGAAAGAUGAAAAGCACUUUGGAAAGAGAGUUAAACAGUACGUGAAAUUGUUGAAAGGGAAACGCUUGAAGUCAGUCACGUUGGCCAGGGAUCAACCUUGCUUUUGCUUGGUGUACUUUCUGGUUGAUGGGUCAGCAUCAAUUUUGACCAUUGGAAAAAGGUCAAGGGAAUGUGGCAUCUUCGGAUGUGUUAUAGCCCUUGGUUGCAUACAAUGGUUGGGAUUGAGGAACUCAGCACGCCGCAAGGCCGGGUUUUUAACCACGUACGUGCUUAGGAUGCUGGCAAAAUGGCUUUAAUCGACCCGUCUUGAAACACGG